GAUGAACGCUGGCGGCGUGCCUAAUACAUGCAAGUCGAGCGAACGGACGAGAAGCUUGCUUCUCUGAUGUUAGCGGCGGACGGGUGAGUAACACGUGGAUAACCUACCUAUAAGACUGGGAUAACUUCGGGAAACCGGAGCUAAUACCGGAUAAUAUUUUGAACCGCAUGGUUCAAAAGUGAAGGACGGUCUUGCUGUCACUUAUAGAUGGAUCCGCGCUGCAUUAGCUAGUUGGUAAGGUAGCGGCUUACCAAGGCAACGAUGCAUAGCCGACCUGAGAGGGUGAUCGGCCACACUGGAACUGAGACACGGUCCAGACGCCUACGGGAGGCAGCAGUAGGGAAUCUUCCGCAAUGGGCGAAAGCCUGACGGAGCAACGCCGCGUGAGUGAUGAAGGUCUUCGGAUCGUAAAACUCUGUUAUUAGGGAAGAACAUAUGUGUAAGUAACUGUGCACAUCUUGACGGUACCUAAUCAGAAAGCCACGGCUAACUACGUG
rnacentral:rRNA from 1 species